ACAUCUUUUUUCAAAUACAAAAUAGGAAAUACAAUAACAAAAGACUCGACAUUACUGUACAGAACUAGAAGGUAAAAGCCGACAUAAAAAAAUCUCCUUAAGCAACUCCUGAAUGAGCAAUUCUAACUGGAUGGUCCCGGGGUGUCUGUCAUGCUCAAACUCCGGUAAGUAGAUCCACACCUGUAUGAGAAAAUUAAGACCAAAUAAAGUUACCUAGAACACUAUGUGAGACAACAACACUUCCUAUUGAACACAUGCAAGUUAUGAUUGGGGCUAUUUUUGCAAAAUGACUUAUGUGGCCAAAAGGUGGCUAGAAGUGCAAACUCAACAAAAGUGACCUCUAAGACAUGGAAAAAUUACUUUGGAGAAAUGACCCAUUUUGUAGAAAUGGCCUAUGUGGAUAAAAAGACAGCUAAGCAUGCAAGUUCAACAUAAUAGAUCUUAAACAGAGAGGGCACCUUGUUGUGGAUUUAGGACUCUAGGACAUGGGUUAAUUGAACCGCUUUUGCGAAAAUAACCCUAUUUUGCAAAACGGCCUAUGUGGCCAAAAGCGUCUAGACAUGAAAAUUUGACAAGGACAUACCUUAAAGUAAAGAGACACCUAAUUGUGGAUUGAAGACUCUCCAGACAAAAUUAAACAAACCACUUUGCGAAAAUAGCCCUAUUUUGCAAAAUGACCGAUGUGGCCAAAAGUGGCUAGACAUGCAAGAUUUGGCUAAGAUCCUGCGAAGCCAGGAACCUAAGACUCACUAAGAAGACCGGACCCUAUGUGGGUUGCCUACGUAUCUCGCCCCGAGAGACGAGAAUCAAGUUCGUGUAGUUCGGGAAGAUUGGAUACAGGCGAGAAUUAUAUAUAAAAAAAUAACUAAUUUAGAGAAAAUAUAUUUGUCUUUUUUUGAAAAAUGAUGAAAUAUGUAAACUCUUUUUGGAUUUUUUCUUUUUUUUCUUUUUCUUUUGAAAAUGAUGAGAAAGUGCAAAAUCUUUUUUUUUUGUUUUGGAUUUUUCAUGUUUUUUUCUUUUUUUUAUUUAAAAAAAUGAAAACAAAAAUAUAACUGGGCCCUACUUGCUUUAUUUUUUACACUUCACCCUUUUUUUUUUUAUCAUUUGCCCUCAACCAUCAUUGGUCCACCAAAUGACCCUUUUUACCCUUGAAGAUUGCAACAUGUAGCACAUAAGAUGCAACAGGAUAGUCUUUUAUUUUUUUGGGUACACCUGUCCUAGACGGACUUAACCCCUGUAUUGAGUCCCCAAAGUCAGAUGCACAUGAUACAAACAAGCGUUCCUACUAGGGAUCCAGUAUGAGGCUAUGUUGUUCUAGGUUUAAAACCUGGGUGUAUUGUUCUAGACUUGGCUUACCCGAGCGGACAACUCAAGCCGGUAGGGGGGGGGGGGGGGAGGGAAGCGUACCGGUAACCAAAAGAUCAUACGGCUUUACAACUUGUUCGAACCUCGUUCUAAAAUUGGGAUAUAACACUAACAGAAGAGAAGUCAUGCCAGCGUACACUUCCCAGAAGAUUAGAAGAGAGGGGUUUCGUAGCAGUUUAUAUACAAUUUAGAUAAUAUCAAAGCGGUAAAGAGCAAUAUUUAGCACAUUAGGCCCAAACAUGUAAAUAAAUUCAGAUAAUAAAUAAAAGCCAAAUAUAACAAUUAUUUUAAGCUCGAAUUCUUGAACCCUGAACCAGAGAUUCUGGGUUCUUUUUCCCAGCAGAGUCGCCAGAGCUGUCACACCUCCUUUUUCUACCCCCGGAAGGGGUAUAGGGGAGUUUUCCAAUUAAAGUGACAAUGAUCGAAAUGAAAUUAUUUAUUUAAAGUUCAGGGUUGCCGCUUGGGAUAAUUUAUGGUGUCACAAGUCACCAGUUUAAAAUCCUGAAUCGAGAAAAAUUGACUCUUAUUUAUGGUCUGCUAACACAGAAAUUCGGGUAAGGAAUUUUGUUAAUCCGGGAAAAGGUGUUAGUGUCACGGCCCUAAACCCGAACGCGGUCGUGAUGGCGCCUCUCGUGAAGACAAGGCCAGCCGACACUUCCCAUUUCAGUAUUUAACAUUUAAAUAGUAAGAAACAGUCUAAAGCAUAAUAAAAUAAUCCAAGGUUUAAGAAGAUGAUAGUAUAAUAUGCGAAAUACAACCCAACAUAGCCCGAUACCGGGGUGCCACUAGUCAUGAGCAUCUAAACAAUCCAGUAUACUCAGAGACUAAGUGUCUCAGACCUUACCAAUUCUUUUCCGAACCCUAACCAAUCAAUCCUAUCACAUAUAGAACCAUUAUACAAAGCAAUAAGAAGCAUAAAUGGGGGAAACAGAGCGGUAACUCAUGAGACGACUGGCCGGGUCGUCACAAUUAGGCAUUCCCGGGUUCUGUAAUUUUAGCACGGUCGCUCAACUGUUAAUAUUGGCCUAUUUAUUCGAUUUUAAAACAUCUUUGAAACCUAUGUGCAUUUUUAUUCCUUUUAAACCACUUUUAAUAAUCCAAUUGUUAUACAACUAAAUAUUUUGAUUACACAUUGUGAAUCAUGUCACGGGAGCCGUACCCAUGAUCCACAACAUGUUUAUUUUAUUAACAGGAUUAAAUUGUGCCCGGGUCACAUAAAUAUACCCCCAGAUUUUAGAAAUUAAGCAUCACAACUACGUCAUGGGAACCGUACCCGUAGCUAUGCCAAUUUAUUUAAUUAACGCGCCUAAAGCAAACUACGAAAAGUUCAAGGCAUUUCUACACGAAUUAAUAUAUUGAUGUGAGGGCCAUAGACUAGGUGAUUGGAUGGCGCACCUCAGUUUUAUUAAAGGAAAAGCAUUCAACUAAGUGAAAUUCAUAUUUAAAACUAAUUUGAGAUUAAGUAUCACAACCACGCCAUGGGAAUCAUACCCAUAGUUGUGAUGAUUUAAUUACGUGCCUAAAGCAAACUACGACAUUCAUAGGUUGCAAUUGAACAAUGAAAUACUCUUAAGAGUAGGCAUGAUCGAAUUGCUAGGAAUACAAACUACAAACUACCUAAAAUUGAAACCAAAAGAGAAACGAUAGAAUUAAGAAGAGAGCACUGUGUUUAUAGGAAAACGGCAAAUCAAAUUGGCAACGACCAUGAGAAUGUCAAAAAAAUGGAUCUUAGUUAAACCCAUAUUUUAAGAAUUUUUAAAAUUUCACCUCUUACCUUUCUUUGAAUAAGAGGUGAAACAACAAAUGUCCAAUAAACGGGCAGAGACUCAGAAAAUUCAAAUGAGCUAUAAUUAUGCUUUUAAUUGUUCAUAGCAGUGAACAAAACUAAAUAUACCAAAUACAGUAAAUAAAGAAACAGACCUCAAAGAGCGAUAAUUUUCCGAUUAAUGGAAUUUCGAGUUUACAUUUCUAUUCAGUCGAGAAGCAAACGAGAAUCUGACCAAAGAAUUGAGCAGCGAACAAAGACGCCAACAGGGACACGAACGCGACAGAACCUCGAACAACAAUUCAGAUCACACCAGUAUCAGUUUCUGUUGAGUUUGGUGUAUUGAAGAAGAUGAAAAUGGCUGUGUAUAUCUAGGUUCAAAGAAGAAGGAAAGGCUGAAAGGUACUUGGUUGACGAGGUGGAUAAGCAGCCGCUGGUGGUCUUUUCAGCUCGUUUUCCGGCGAGCUGUUAUCUCUUUUGUCUGUGUGCGUCGCUGUUUCAGGUUGAAGAAGAAAGAUUGACAGUGAGGGGUCGUCCAAGGGCGGCUGUUGCUGUUUUUUUCUAGGGUUUGUGUUGGUUGAAAAAAAAUUGCUGGAGAUCUCGACUAUGUCUGCUUGUCCUGAUGAAGAUGAAGACGCAGGUGGUAUGGGUUUGGUCUUAUUGAGCCUUAAAAUUGGGUCCAAG
rnacentral:lncRNA from 1 species